rnacentral:lncRNA from 1 species
CUUUGGGAGCGCAAGGGAGGGGACGGGGCCCAGGCAAGCAGCCGGGUUUGCUCGUGUGCGGGGAGGUGGGACACAGCAGGGGCGGGGGAAAAGGGCUGUGCCCCCGGGGUAGGACCCUGUGCUAUAAAAAUGACUUCAACCGCAUCCAGCGGUAGGAAAGAGAGGCACCUUCCACCUCUGCUCCUGCCUCCAGCAGCGUUGUCCGGGGAGGAGGACCCUGAGCAGAGCCAGACCCUGAGGAUGAAGGUCCAGGUGCUGUCUGUCACUGCGCUCCUCCUGGUGCUGCUCUCUUCAGCCCCAGCACCAUCUGAGGCACUGGGGGGCCACACCAGCACCCUGAAGAGGCAGCUAGGAGCUGAGGGCCAUGGAGAAGACCCUCGGGCGCUUGGAGAUGGAGGGGACAACCUGCCCAGGCAGGGCUUGGUGGGGAGCCACCCCCUGGCUGGUGCAUGGGAGGUGAUGGGAGAGAUGUCUCCCAGCUCCGGGUCCCCCAGCAAGGCCUUGGCCAAGCCCUCACCGGGCAGCAGCGAGCCCCAACCCCUUGGCAAGCUCCGGAGACACCCACGGCAGCCCUCCCGCAGCAGGAGCCCGGGGCUGAGCCAUCACCUGAAGGGUCACGGGAGGUUCAACGGGGACACGCACUCCUGCCACAGCAUCCACUCCCGGCCCUGCCAGAAGCCCUCCGACUGCGGCGGCUGCCUGGGGCUCUACACCUGCAGGCUGCUGGCGGGUACCUGCCACCUGAAAGCCGUCUCCAGGCAGAGAGGUGGGUUCCUCCAAAGCAUCUAGAACCUGGAGAGGCGCAGGGUCCUGCUCAACCCGCAGCAACACGGCUCGACGUAAAGCUGGGGAGGCUGUCCUGCAGCUGGAGACCAGCACGCUCUGUCCGAGUUUCAUUUUAAAUACUUAAUGACACAGCUGUAAAUGUUUCUUUCACUGCACUUCUCAUGCUGCCGGCUUUUAAUACCCUCCCUGGAUUUUGUAGGCUUGAUUCCCGCUUUCCUGAGAGCUGCCAGCGAAAGCUCUGAGCAGCCUCAGAGCCAAGUGAUGGCAGAGCCCACUUGGAGACCCCUUGAUGAGACAAAUGGGGCUAUUUCACAACCCGUUUUGAUUUGAGCGAGCAGGAUGUUGCAGUAAGAGCUGCCAGCACCUCAGCACGCUCACACACGAGUGCACGCUGAGCUGAGGAGCCUGUCGGCAUGGGGCACCCCAGGGAACCCGCCCAGCUCCUCACCACGGCUCCCACCGAGGAGGGCCAAGUCCCACACUGCUGACAACAUCGCUUGAGAAGGGGAAUGCAGAGCCCUGGCUUGGUGGUGGGGGACCACGUGGGACACCUGCUGCUGGAGGCCUGAGCUGAGCCACAAGAUCAGGUUCAUUCGGCACCCCACAGAGCUCUGCAGGCAGCCCGGCUGCCUUCGCGUGUGUGGGUGCAUCCUGGCUUUGCACAACCCUGUUUUGCUACCAUUAAAACACUUCUUAAAAUGCAAACCAAAACACAGCUUUUGAUUCACCCUGAACUCCACCGCAGUUUCCUUUGGUGGGCCACCACCUCCUGUGACAGACGGGGCUUUAAGUGGUGCCAAUUUUGCUUGGGGUACCCAAGGGGCCCCCUGGUCACCCCUGCUGGGAGCCUGACCCUGGGGAGGUGGGGAUAAAUGCCACCGGCUUCUCUGCCCCCCAUCACUGCUUCAGCUGUCCCCACACACGAGUUGAGGAGUGUAGAGGUGCAGGUGCUGCCUUCCUGCUCAUGCCCAACGUGGCACUACUGCUGUCCUUCAUUUAUGGU